rnacentral:rRNA from 1 species
UACGUAGGUGGCAAGCGUUGUCCGGAUUUACUGGGCGUAAAGGGAGCGUAGGCGGAUGUUUAAGUGGGAUGUGAAAUACUCGGGCUCAACUUGAGUGCUGCAUUCCAAACUGGAUAUCUAGAGUGCAGGAGAGGAAAGGAGAAUUCCUAGUGUAGCGGUGAAAUGCGUAGAGAUUAGGAAGAAUACCAGUGGCGAAGGCGCCUUUCUGGACUGUAACUGACGCUGAGGCUCGAAAGCGUGGGAGGCAACAGGAUUAGAUACCGCGGUA